GAGAAACUUUAGUAAUGAAUGUUACAUUUAGCAUCGUGUCUUGAGAUAUGACCUUGAUGUUGUAGCUUUUUACUUUUGAAGUUCUUGUGUCCUGAUACAUAUUUCGUAUGUCUCGAAACUUGGGAUAAGGGGCCCAAAAUUUUGUUUUGAAACACAUCCAAACUAUAUCAAAACUGUCCACAAUCAUUCCAAACAAUAAUCAAAGCUCAUAAACUAUGUAAUACCUCAUAUUUACCAUUCAAAACACAUUAAACUCAAAUAUUAAAACAACUAGACACUUUCUUUCUUACUUUAUUAAUUAUUCUAUACACAUGCCAUACUCUAUACCAUGAGAUUUAUUUCAUACCUAUUUUCUCCCAAGUCUUAAUGAUGUGAUGAGAUGCGUCGAGGUCGCUACUUUGAACAAGAGCUUCAAUCCAAUCUUUUCCCAUAUGUGUUGAAAAAUAACAUGUUAAGCUUAUGGAAGCUUAGUAAGUACCUAUGAAUUCAAACAUUACCAUUGCUUAGUUUAUUUCACAAUAAUAAUAAACUGUUAUAUUUCAUGAAUUUAUCAUAAUAAUUGUAAGAGGGCUAUUUUGCCCGGCCCAUUAGAAACCAAAAAAAUAAAAUAACCAAAUAAAGUCCAAGUUUUUAACAGUCCAUACAAAGCCCAAAAUUUGACAAUUAGGCCCAAAACCUAAACAGCCCAAAAUACAAAAAUCCUACGACCCAACAUGCUAAGCCUAGCCAAAUUCUUCACAGGCCCAAGACCUAAACGGUCAGCAGAAGCAGAAACCCUAGUUGUCCUAGGCGCCGUUGCUUCCACGUGCUAAGUCAGCACGCUCGUCGCUUGAAGACCAUCGUUCUUAGCAUCUUGCACCAAAAUGGUAACCUCCGCCUCGUUGACCUCCUUCAUAGACCUGCAAAUACGCAAAAAGGAGAAAGCCAGCAGACCAAAGAAACGAAGACAGAACAGAAACAACAAUGGCAGAUAGAAUAGUAAGCUAGUAAUAAACAAUGAAUAUUAUUUCGGCUAUAUAAGCCCAAGAACCAAACGAUGUAAGGAUUUUUUGGGGGAGAAGAAAAAAAGAAGCAUUCGAAUUGAAUACAAAAGAAUAUUUGAAAACAAAAACACCAACUUUCGAAUAGACGAAAUACACAGACAAGAAAAUCAAAUCGUAAAGGCUUAAAGGUGGUUCUCUUUUUAUAUUAUCCUGCUAUCUUUCUAUCUUUCAUUAAUAUUUUAAAAAAGGAAAAUAACGAAGGAAAUAAACAGGGGGUUAGAAGACCAUCUGACCUUCGGUACGGCAGCCGAGGUUUGCCAUUUUCGAUGAAAAAUUGCGUGUUGAGGGCCCGAACGGAGAAGCAAAUGAGACCAAAACCAAUUUCAUUUUUCUCUUUUCAUUUUCAUUUUCUUUUUGUUAAAAAAAGGGCUUGAAUCAGGUUUGUAAACAAAAAGAACCCCUUUUUGUGAAGCGCUGUGCUUCCGGUACGGCGGAGCCAAGGUGAAGGCUCGCCGGUGACCCAAUCGGAGUUGGGGUUGGCGAAAAAGGGAUUUUCAGAGAAAAAAUCAAGGGUUUCUCUUUUUUUUUUUGAAAACUCGGUUUCAAAGUGAUUUUUUUUAUUUUGUUGCUUUUAUAAUGCACAAAUACGACGCCGUUUUGGGUUGGUAUUCAGACACCCAAAACCGACGCCAUUUGGCAUCAAUCCGAAACCCGACCCGAGAUCCGACUCGAAACUCGCCUAGGAUUCGCGUGUUUUGGACUGAGGGUCUAUUUGCGCCCUUAGUCCUUAUACUUUUGAGGCCGUUUCUAAUGUGGUCCUUAUCCCUUUUUUACUUUUUGAAUUUAUCCCUGCAAUUUCUUUGUUAUUUCAUUUUGGUCCCUAAUAGAACUGCGCGUAUUUGGGGGAGACGGGUUUAUUUCCCAUAUGGUCCUCCCAUAUUAUUCGCGUGUUCAUUAAGGACCUAAUUAGCGCUUUAUCAAAUUUUACCUUUUUUAAAUUUACCCCCUAAUUUUAUCCCAAUUUUCAAUUCAAUCCUUAACCUUUUUAGUUUCAUUUUUUUAUACCCAAUUUGCAAUUCAAUCCUUAACCUUUUUAGUUUCAUUUUUUUAUACUUUUUUUUAUUUUAAACUGUUAUUAUGUUAUUAUUUAAUUUUU
rnacentral:lncRNA from 1 species